UUCUCUAUAUGUACAGAGACAAGGCGGGU
rnacentral:piRNA from 1 species